rnacentral:rRNA from 1 species
ACAACUUUCAGCGACGGAUGUCUCGGCUCGAACAACGAUGAAGGGCGCAGCGAAGUGUGAUAAGCAUUGUGAAUUGCAGAAUUCCGUGAA